ACAGUUUGAUCCUGGCUCAGAUUGAACGCUGGCGGCAUGCUUUACACAUGCAAGUCGAACGGCAGCACGGGGGCGAACCCUGGUGGCGAGUGGCGAACGGGUGAGUAAUGCAUCGGAACGUAUCUUCAAUGGGGGGAUAACGCACCGAAAGGUGUGCUAAUACCGCAUAAUCUCUACGGAGAAAAGCAGGGGAUCGCAAGACCUUGCGCUUUUAGAGCGGCCGAUGUCUGAUUAGCUAGUUGGUGAGGUAAAGGCUCACCAAGUCGACGAUCGGUAACUGGUCUGAGAGGAUGAUCAGUCAGACUGGAACUGAGACACGGUCCAGACUCC
rnacentral:rRNA from 1 species